GACGAACGCUGGCGGCGUGCUUAACACAUGCAAGUCGAACGGAGUCUAAAAAUUACCACUGAGAUCUUAGUCAGUGGGCGAGCAGCGUCAUGGACACGAAGUGGCCAUCACGCGUUAAAAAAGUGCCAACACAGGGCUGAGGCCUGAGUGGUGAUUUUUAGACUGAGUGGCAAACGGGUGAGUAACACGUAGGCAACCUGCCGACAGGAUGGGGACAACAUUCCGAAAGGAAUGCUAAUACCGAAUGGAGUCCGGGGAUGGCAUCAUCCUCGGAUCAAAGAUGGCCUCUGAAUAUGCUAUCGCCUGUCGAUGGGCCUGCGUCUGAUUAGCCAGUUGGCGGGGUAACGGCCCACCAAAGCGACGAUCAGUAGCCGGUCUGAGAGGAUGAACGGCCACAUUGGGACUGAGACACGGCCCAGACUCCUACGGGAGGCAGCAGUGGGGAAUCUUCCACAAUGGGCGAAAGCCUGAUGGAGCAACGCCGCGUGAGUGAAGAAGGUCUUCGGAUCGUAAAGCUCUGUUGCACGGGACGAAAACCGAGUUUGAGAAUAUUGAGCUUGGGGACG
rnacentral:rRNA from 1 species